GGCACACAGUGGGAGCCAGCCACAUCCCUACAUGUAACUGUGCCAGCAUGUAAUCCCUCUCCAAACAUCCUGCUGAGACUCCACCUGCACUUCUUUUCUCUCAUUCCAGAACCUACGAGUUUCCUCACCAACUGCCUCCUGGUUCUGCGGGCACAGCCAUCUGCAGUGUCUGGAGGUGGAAACCUGAGAGCGCUCCUUCAGCUGCUUGGUGCCUGGUCAUGUCAGCUCUCCAGUCACCUCCACUCAGCAACAUCUACUGGCUUUUUGGGUACCUUCAGAAACAAGGAAGUCAGAUAUAUUCCCUGUAGAAUAUUCCCUUUUUUGUCCUUCACUGCACUGGAAACUUAAGUAUUUGGCCAGAAGGAGGGAAGGAACCACAAAAAGAGGCCACAAUGCAGCCAGUGUAAACAUGUGCUUCACAGAGGCAAACCAUCUUGGUCCAGCAGUACUGGUAAGAGAAACAAAGCUGGACUUGGCUCUCCUGUGAUAGGACGUGCGCAGGGCAAGCCAAACAACUGAGUGAAACUGAGCCCAUUGCUGGGCGUCCACCAAAACCUGGAUUUAGAAUCGUAAACCUCAAUAAAUAAAUAAAUAAAUAAAUGCUGCUUUUGCUU
rnacentral:lncRNA from 1 species